rnacentral:rRNA from 1 species
CGAACGGGUGCAGCAAUGCAUUAGUAGGCGAACGGGUGAGUAACACGUUGGUGAACCUGCCCCAAACGAAUGGGAAGUAAUCACCUGGAAAACGGGUGGCAAAACCGAAUAAGCUUGAGGGAGGUUAGAGAGCCUCAAGUAAAAGAGAGAUCUACUUUGGGAGGGGCCUGCGGCCCAUCAGUUAGUUGGUGAGGGUAACGGCCCACCAAGACGAAGACGGGUAGGGGACCUGAGAGGGUGGUCCCCCCACAAUGGAACUGAAACACGGUCCAUACACCUGCGGGUGGCAGCAGUAGGGAAUAUUGCUUAAUGGGCGAAAAAGCCUGAAGCAGCAACGCCGCGUGGAUGAAGAAGGCCUUCGGGUCGUAAAAUCCUUUUACAGGGGAAGAGGAAGGACGGUACCCUGUGAAUAAGUCUCGGCUAACUACGUGCCAGCAGCCGC